rnacentral:rRNA from 1 species
CUACGGGGUGCAGCAGUGAGGAAUAUUGCACAAUGGGGGGAACCCUGAUGCAGCAACGCCGCGUGGAGGAUGACGCAUUUCGGUGUGUAAACUCCUUUUAUAUGUCAAGAAAAUGACGGUAGCAUAUGAAUAAGCACCGGCUAACUCCGUGCCAGCAGCCGCGGUAAUACGGAGGGUGCAAGCGUUACUCGGAAUCACUGGGCGUAAAGGACGCGUAGGCAGGUUGGAAAGUCAGGUGUGAAAUCCUACAGCUUAACUGUAGAACUGCACUUGAAACUUCUAAUCUAGAGUAUGGGAGGGGGAGAUGGAAUUAGUGGUGUAGGGGUAAAAUCCGUAGAUAUCACUAGGAAUACCUAAAGCGAAGGCGAUCUCCUGGAACAUUACUGACGCUAAGGCGUGAAAGCGUGGGGAGCAAACAGGAUAGAUACCCCUGUAGUC